AACGCUUCUCGGCCUUUCGGCUAAGAUCAGGUGUAGUAUCUGUUCUAUCAGUUUAUACCUGAUACGUCCCCUAUCUGGGGACCAUAUAUCAAAUAGAUUUUUGAGAACGGGGCCGAUUCAAAGCUUGCUUCAGUCACCCUAUGCAUUGACACGAUAAGUUAGUAUCUUUGGGUACAGUGCAUCUCUC